rnacentral:rRNA from 1 species
GUGAGGAAUUUUCCGCAAUGGGCGAAAGCCUGACGGAGCAAUGCCGCGUGGAGGAUGAAGGCCUGUGGGUCGUAAACUCCUUUUCUCAGAGAAGAAGUUCUGACGGUAUCUGAGGAAUAAGCAUCGGCUAACUCCGUGCCAGCAGCCGCGGUAAUACGGAGGAUGCAAGCGUUAUCCGGAAUGAUUGGGCGUAAAGCGUCUGUAGGUGGUUUCUUAAGUCUACUGUCAAAGAUCAGGGCUUAACCCUGGGAAGGCUGUAGAAACUAAGAGGCUUGAGUACGGUAGAGGCAGAGGGAAUUCCCGGUGUAGCGGUGAAAUGCGUAGAGAUCGGGAAGAACACCAACGGCGAAAGCACUCUGCUGGGCCGAAACUGACACUGAGAGACGAAAGCUAGGGGAGCAAAUGGGAUUAGAAACCCGAGUAGUCC